AGUGCUCAGAGAUCUAAAGAUGGAAAGUGGGGAGGAGACCAGCUCUGAAAGCCCCCGCCUCUCCACACACAGAGCACCUGCAUGGAGAGAGGAGUCUGGUGGCAGGCAGGAGUGGGGGUUGGGCAAGUUCAAGGUGCUCCCCACCCAUCUUUUCUGGCCUCACCCUAGGCUCCCUGUGGGCCCCAUGCCAGACUCCAAAGCUCCCUCCCAGGCCCUGUAUAGGUAUUCAUGCAAAAGACACCAAUAACUGACAUCGCAUUUCAGCAGAAAGCAAGAGAGCUUCGUCCCAGAGUUCAUUUGACCAAGGGAGUUAGCAAGUGGGCUGAUUGCUCUGCAUGAUUGCUGGACAACCCUUCUUGACCAAGCCUACUCCCAGGAGACAUCCCAAGCAUCAAGGACACCAGUGAUGAAGACAACAUCAGAACACAGAAGAUCCAGGGGGAAUCUGCAACAGUGAGCUCCUACAGAGGAGUGCCUGGAUUCUAACAACAGCUUGUAGCCUGGACAUCACUCCUCCCUCUCUCUUCCAGCCUGCCACCCUUCCAGCUGAAGCCCAGCAUCUUUCACACCACCUGCUUCCAUCUCAUCAUCAAGCUUUGUCUGUUCUCUGAAUCCCUGUUGAACUCCACUGCACUGUGAGGCUUCAUUCAAGGACCCAACGCGUCCCAUCCUGCAGCUCUGUAAUGUGCAGGUUGAGAAUGUCCUGAGGGCAGUUUCCACACCUUACAGAUGGUGAAGUCCCUUGGAGCACAAAGCCCAGGGCUGGGUGCUGAAGCAGCCUUUACCGAGAGUUUGCUUUGCUUUUUGCUUCUCAUUAAACAUCAGAGGAAUCUUGCUGGAGAAAAUCUUUGUAAAUGUAAUAAAUGGGCAUGAACCUUUAUAAGGGUGGAGUAACCAUCAGAUACAACAUCAGAGAAAUUUCCUCCUGGACAGAAACCCUGGAUCAGGAUGCGUCCAUGGGAGAGCCCUUGGGCAAUCUGGAGGCUUGUCAGAGUUUCCUAAUUCUUAGGGAGUUUCCUAUUCCUUACUCAGUGUCAUGGGAGUCAAUUAUGUGAAU